rnacentral:rRNA from 1 species
UGGGGAAUUUUGCACAAUGGGGGAAACCCUGAUGCAGCGACGCCGCGUGAUUUAGAAGGCCUUCGGGUUGUAAAAAUCUUUUGUACGGGAAGAAAAUGACAGUACCAUACGAAUAAGGACCGGCUAAUCACGUGCCAGCAGCCGCGGUAAUACGUAAGGUCCGAGCGUUGUCCGGAAUCAUUGGGCGUAAAGGGUACGUAGGCGGAUAAGCAAGUUAGAAGUGAAAUCCUAUAGCUCAACUAUAGUAAGCUUUUAAAACUGCUCAUCUUGAGGUAUGGAAGGGAGAGUGGAAUUCCUAGUGUAGCGGUGAAAUGCGCAGAUAUUAGGAGGAAUACCAGUGGCGAAGACGACUUUCUGGACAUAAACUGACACUGAGGAACGAAAAAGUGGGUAGCAAACGGG